rnacentral:lncRNA from 7 species
CAACUGUUACACGGCUUCACCACGUUAAACUCCCAGCAAAACCCCAAGUCGUCACCUGCCCCAGCGUUUACUCACCUUGUUCCCUAGCCCCGGCGGCCACCCUGUCCUUGAUCAUUUCCAAGUUGUGUUGCAGCGAGCUUCUACGUAGUUCUUCCCCACCCGCUCGCUCCCAGCCUGUGAGUGGCCUGCUCCCUCACGCCGAAGCAGCUUGGCCCUCUGCACCCGCCGUUGAUUCCGCUUAUGUCCUAUCAUCUUCAACCUCCAGUCUUUGCUCGUCCUUGUCUAGGUCUGGUCCUGCGUACUUCGACGCCGUUCUCCAGACGUGACAGCUCCAUCGCUGGUCGUCCAAUCCAUGUUGAUCCUGACUGAUCUCGCACGAGCACUGAAGGCGUGGUGAGUCACCGGUACUCCCUCCCUGUACCUUUGAUUAGAGCUCUACCGUAGGGGAUGACUCCGGAUCAAGUUGUCGGGCGAGGUCUGAAUGAGGUUGGG